rnacentral:rRNA from 1 species
GACGAACGCUGGCGGCGUGCUUAACACAUGCAAGUCGAGCGGUAAGGCCCUUCGGGGUACACGAGCGGCGAACGGGUGAGUAACACGUGGGUGACCUGCCCUCCACUUCGGGAUAAGCCUGGGAAACCGGGUCUAAUACCGGAUAGGACCUCCGCAUGCAUGUGCGGUGGUGGAAAGUUUUUCGGUGGAGGAUGGGCCCGCGGUCUAUCAGCUUGUUGGUGGGGUGAUGGCCUACCAAGGCGACGACGGAUAGCCGGCCUGAGAGGGUGAUCGGCCACACUGGGACUGAGACACGGCCCAGACUCCUACGGGAGGCAGCAGUGGGGAAUCUUGCGCAAUGGGCGAAAGCCUGACGCAGCAACGCCGCGUGGGGGAUGACGGCCUUCGGGUUGUAAACCUCUUUCGCGAUCGACGAAGCUCGUACUUCUGGUACGGGUGACGGUAGGUCGAGAAGAAGCACCGGCCAACUACGUGCCAGCCGCCGCCGUAACAC